rnacentral:rRNA from 1 species
GAUGAACGCUAGCUACAGGCUUAACACAUGCAAGUCGAGGGGCAGCAUGAACUUAGCUUGCUAAGUUUGAUGGCGACCGGCGCACGGGUGAGUAACACGUAUCCAACCUUCCGUUUACUCAGGGAUAGCCUUUCGAAAGAAAGAUUAAUACCUGAUAGUAUGGUGAGAUUGCAUGAUAGCACCAUUAAAGAUUUAUUGGUGUACGAUGGGGAUGCGUUCCAUUAGGUAGUAGGCGGGGUAACGGCCCACCUAGCCUACGAUGGAUAGGGGUUCUGAGAGGAAGGUCCCCCACAUUGGAACUGAGACACGGUCCAAACUCCUACGGGAGGCAGCAGUGAGGAAUAUUGGUCAAUGGACGAGAGUCUGAACCAGCCAAGUAGCGUGAAGGAUGAAGGUCCUACGGAUUGUAAACUUCUUUUAUAAGGGAAUAAAACCGUCCCACGUGUGGGAGCUUGUAUGUACCUUAUGAAUAAGCGAUCGGCUAACUCCGUGCCAGCAGCCG